CACACUCAAUUUAUUUUAUUUGUUUAGGGUUAUGGAUUAACAGUAAAUCAUUUGAAAUUAUUUAUUAAAAAAAUAUAUUGAAAAUGUACACAUUGAAAGAUAAAGUAGCGGGAAGUCUUUCACGUUUGUUUGCAGAUUCACCGAAUCAUUCUUCUGCUUCUUCUCCAUCUGAUCUUUCUCAGGCCAGAUGGUAUUCCAAAGGCUCAAAAUCAUUGUCUUCAGUUUUUUCUUUCAUUAUCCCUUCAGCAAGCUUAGGUGGGUCUAAAUCGAAUGAUCAUGAUCUCAAGCCAAUUCAGUCACAUCCUGUUAGAUGGAAAAAUAAGACAUUUGAGGUGCAAGAUGAUCCCCUGGAUAGAUGUGAAGAAUACACCGAUAUUUAUACCAGUGAAGACAUAAAAAAGGUUUGUCAAGAUAAGAAGAGCAAUUGGACAGAUAAUGACAUUAAGCAAACAGUUAGUCCUCGUGGUGAGGAAAAGGACCGUGCCUCUGAAAGGAGCAGCAGUGAUUCCGAUGAAUUUCAAGAAGCAAGAGAGCAACAGAGUCCAGUAAAGUCUUCACCAAAUCUCGCUGAUGAAUCUGUGUUUGUUAACUGUGAUUUGUAUGAAUUCUUGGUGUCUUCCCUUCCCAAUAUUGUUAAAGGGUGUCAAUGGGUGUUGUUGUAUAGUACGUUGAAAGAUGGUAUAUCACUUCGUACGCUUAUUCGUAAGAGUGCUGAGCUUCCUGGUCCUUGUUUGCUGAUUACUGGAGAUAGGCAAGGAGCUGUCUUUGGUGCAAUGCUAGAAUGCCCCUUGAAACCUACACCAAAGAGAAAAUAUCAAGGAACAAACCAGACAUUUGUAUUCACAACCAUAUAUGGUGAACCAAGGCUGUUUAGACCAACCGGUGCCAAUCGUUAUUAUUAUAUGUGUUUGAAUGACUUGUUAGCACUGGGUGGUGGUGGUAAUUUUGCUUUGUGCUUGGAUGGAGAUCUGUAAGUUCGAAUUUGCAGUUUUCCCUUUUAGAGUUCUGCCAACUAGUCUUUUCUGUUUCUGGUUUAUCUAUAUCCCAACAUUGAGUUUAAGAUGAAAACACGAGUGACUAUCUGAUAGGAUGCUGAUUGAAUUGAACAAUGAGUUGGAGUAUCAUUUACAAGGAAUCCCUGUGCAUUUCUCGUCGAUAUCCUGUUUACAUUUUUGGAGCAAUCAUCUUUCCUUCAGAUUUAUCAAGUUGAAACUUUUACAGGUUUUUGCCCUUUUUAACCCAUUGUCUGAUGGUAUAUUUGUAUUGCAUGUGCUUCUAACUGUGCAGCUUUGGGGAUUCACGCAUGCAUCACAAUACUUCUAACUGAAGGAAGGCUGAGAUUUGUAGCUCAUGUGUAAUUCUUGUAUCAUUGAGGAAGUAUUUAUGUCGCCAUUCUUUAUUCUUUGACUUUGUACCAUCCCUUCCUUGCCCUCAGUUUUGGGCUAAGAUUGCAUGUAAUGGCAAAUUGCUUGCAGGUUAAAUUAUAGGGUUUUGGAUAAGUUAUUCUCGAAGUGUCAAUCGGAGUGCCGUGAUUCACUUUC